rnacentral:rRNA from 1 species
UAGGGAAUCUUCGGCAAUGGACGAAAGUCUGACCGAGCAACGCCGCGUGAGUGAAGAAGGUUUUCGGAUCGUAAAACUCUGUUGUUAGAGAAGAACAAGGACGUUAGUAACUGAACGUCCCCUGACGGUAUCUAACCAGAAAGCCACGGCUAACUACGUGCCAGCAGCCGCGGUAAUACGUAGGUGGCAAGCGUUGUCCGUAUUUAUUGGGCGUAAAGCGAGCGCAGGCGGUUUCUUAAGUCUUAUGUUAAAGCCCCCGGCUCAACCGGGUAGGGUCAUUGGCAACUGGGAGACUUGAAUUCAGAAGAGGAGAGUGGAUUUCCAUGUGUAGCUGUGAAAUGCGUAGAUAUAUGGGGGAACACCAGUGGCGAAGGCGGCUCUCUGGUCUGUAUCUGACGCUGAGGCUCGAAAGCGUGGAGAGCAAACAGG